rnacentral:rRNA from 1 species
CAUGCAAGUCGAGGGGAAACGACAUCGAAAGCUUGCUUUUGAUGGGCGUCGACCGGCGCACGGGUGAGUAACGCGUAUCCAACCUGCCCACCACUUGGGGAUAACCUUGCGAAAGUAAGACUAAUACCCAAUGACGUCUCUAGAAGACAUCUGAAAGAGAUUAAAGAUUUAUCGGUGAUGGAUGGGGAUGCGUCUGAUUAGCUUGUUGGCGGGGUAACGGCCCACCAAGGCAACGAUCAGUAGGGGUUCUGAGAGGAAGGUCCCCCACAUUGGAACUGAGACACGGUCCAAACUCCUACGGGAGGCAGCAGUGAGGAAUAUUGGUCAAUGGACGAGAGUCUGAACCAGCCAAGUAGCGUGCAGGAUGACGGCCCUAUGGGUUGUAAACUGCUUUUAUAAGGGAAUAAAGUGAGUCUCGUGAGACUUUUUGCAUGUACCUUAUGAAUAAGGACCGGCUAAUUCCGUGCCAGCAGCCGCGGUAAUACGGAAGGUCCGGGCGUUAUCCGGAUUUAUUGGGUUUAAAGGGAGCGUAGGCCGGAGAUUAAGCGUGUUGUGAAAUGUAGAUGCUCAACAUCUGCACUGCAGCGCGAACUGGUUUCCUUGAGUACGCACAAAGUGGGCGGAAUUCGUGGUGUAGCGGUGAAAUGCUUAGAUAUCACGAAGAACUCCGAUUGCGAAGGCAGCUCACUGGAGCGCAACUGACGCUGAAGCUCGAAAGUGCGGGUAUCGAACAGGAUUAGAUACCCUGGUAGUCCGCACGGUAAACGAUGGAUGCCCGCUGUUGGUCUGAAUAGGUCAGCGGCC